UGGGGAAUAUUGGACAAUGGGCGAAAGCCUGAUCCAGCAAUGCCGCGUGAGUGAUGAAGGCCUUAGGGUUGUAAAGCUCUUUUACCCGGGAAGAUAAUGACUGUACCGGGAGAAUAAGCCCCGGCUAACUCCGUGCCAGCAGCCGCGGUAAUACGGAGGGGGCUAGCGUUGUUCGGAAUUACUGGGCGUAAAGCGCACGUAGGCGGCUUUUUAAGUCAGAGGUGAAAGCCCGGGGCUCAACUCCGGAACUGCCUUUGAGACUGGGAGGCUUGAACGUCGGAGAGGUGAGUGGAAUUCCGAGUGUAGAGGUGAAAUUCGUAGAUAUUCGGAAGAACACCAGUGGCGAAGGCGGCUCACUGGACGACUGUUGACGCUGAGGUGCGAAAGCGUGGGGAGCAAACA
rnacentral:rRNA from 1 species